ACGGGUGAGUAACGCGUGGGUAACCUGCCUUCAAGAGGGGGAUAACAUUCUGAAAAGAAUGCUAAUACCGCAUGACAUAUCGGAACCACAUGGUUUUGAUAUCAAAGAUUUUAUCGCUUGAAGAUGGACUCGCGUCCGAUUAGUUAGUUGGUGAGGUAACGGCUCACCAAGACCGCGAUCGGUAGCCGGACUGAGAGGUUGAACGGCCACAUUGGGACUGAGACACGGCCCAGACUCCUACGGGAGGCAGCAUG
rnacentral:rRNA from 1 species